CCACUUCUCCCACGUACAGUCCUAGUUCUCCUGGCUAUAGCCCAACUAGCCCUGCUUAUUCUCCAACAAGUCCUUCAUAUUCUCCCACCUCCCCUAGCUACAGCCCAACGUCUCCUAGCUAUAGCCCAACGUCUCCAAGCUACAGUCCAACGUCUCCAAGCUACAGCCCAACAUCCCCGAGUUACAGUCCAACUUCACCUGCUUACAGUCCAACUUCUCCUGCAUACAGCCCAACGUCACCUGCAUACAGCCCUACCUCUCCAUCUUACAGUCCAACUUCACCAUCUUACAGUCCGACAUCGCCUUCUUACAGCCCUACUUCACCCUCCUACAGUCCAACAUCUCCUUCUUACAGUCCUACUUCACCUGCAUACAGCCCUACAUCUCCUGGGUACAGCCCUACAUCUCCAAGCUACAGUCCAACGUCUCCUAGUUACGGUCCGACGUCUCCAAGCUACAACCCUCAGUCUGCUAAAUACAGUCCAUCUCUGGCUUACUCCCCUAGCAAUGCAAGACUAUCACCAGCUAGCCCUUACAGUCCUACAUCUCCAAACUACAGGUCAGUAGUAAUCUGCUCUGUAGUGUUUUUUUUUCUACCACUGUGAAGCUGUUAUAAUCCCUUGUCGUUUCUUUAUUUUGUUAACUAUUCAUAAAAAAAUUUACUCUGCAGCCCUACAUCACCAUCGUACUCACCCACAUCUCCAUCGUAUUCACCAUCAAGUCCAACAUACAGUCCCAGCA
rnacentral:lncRNA from 1 species